rnacentral:rRNA from 1 species
GUUGUAUGGUUAAGUGACUAAGCGUACACGGUGGAUGCCUUGGCAAUCAGAGGCGAAGAAGGACGUGCUAAUCUGCGAAAAGCUUGGAUGAGUUGAUAAGAAGCGUUUAAUCCAAGAUAUCCGAAUGGGGAAACCCAGUAGAUGAAGAAUCUACUAUUGUUAACUGAAUUCAUAGGUUAACAAGGCAAACCGGGAGAACUGAAACAUCUAAGUACCCCGAGGAAAAGAAAUCAACCGAGAUUCCGUGAGUAGCGGCGAGCGAAAGUGGAAGAGCCAGUGAGUGAUAGCAGUAAAAUUAAGAGAAUGAGCUGGGAAGCUCAACCGUAGGGGGUGAUAGUCCCGUAUCUGAAAAUUUUAUUGUGGUACUAAGCUAACGAGAAGUAGGGCGGGACACGUGAUAUCCUGUUUGAAGAUGGGGGGACCAUCCUCCAAGGCUAAAUACUCCUGAUUGACCGAUAGUGAACCAGUACUGUGAAGGAAAGGCGAAAAGAACCCCAGUGAGGGGAGUGAAAUAGAACCUGAAACCGUGUACGUACAAGCAGUGGGAGCUCCGUCACUUAAUGAUUUUUAAUCAUUAAGUGACUUCGCAGGAGUCAGAUGACAGUGGUCAGAUAGCAGUGGAUAAUAAAACUGCCAUCUGAAACCUGUCAUCUGACACCUGAAACGGAGUCAGUUAAUGGCGAAAGCCAUUAAGUGACGGAGUGACUGCGUACCUUUUGUAUAAUGGGUCAGCGACUUAUAUUUUGUAGCGAGGUUAACUUAAAUCAGGUAGCCGAAGGGAAACCGAGUCUUAACUGGGCGGCUAGUUGCAAGGUAUAGACCCGAAACCCGGUGAUCUAGCCAUGGGCAGGUUGAAGGUUGGGUAACACUAACUGGAGGACCGAACCGACUAAUGUUGAAAAAUUAGCGGAUGACUUGUGGCUGGGGGUGAAAGGCCAAUCAAACCGGGAGAUAGCUGGUUCUCCCCGAAAUCUAUUUAGGUAGAGCCUUAUGUGAAUACCUUGGGGGGUAGAGCACUGUUUCGGCUAGGGGUCCAUCCCGGAUUACCAACCCGAUGCAAACUGCGAAUACCGAAGAGUAAUGCAUAGGAGACACACGGUGGGUGCUAACGUCCAUCGUGAAGAGGGAAACAACCCAGACCGCCAGCUAAGGUCCCAAAGUCUAUAUUAAGUGGGAAACGAAGUGGGAAGGCUUAGACAGCUAGGAUGUUGGCUUAGAAGCAGCCAUCAUUUAAAGAAAGCGUAAUAGCUCACUAGUCGAGUCGGCCUGCGCGGAAGAUGUAACGGGGCUAAAAUAUAGCACCGAAGCUGCGGCUUUCAGGGGUCAGAUUACAGGAGUCAGAUAACAGUAUGGUAAUGAAAUUUGAAGAUUUGCAAGUGUUUCAAAGAAGUUAUAAGAUUUCUUUAGAAUUGCAUAAGGCAAGUUUAGAUUUUCCAAAGCAUGAGCAAUAUGGUUUAGCAGACCAAAUAAGAAGGGCAAGCAAAAGUAUUUGUGCAAAUAUAGCAGAAGGUUUUGCGAGAAAACGCUCACAGGCUGAUUUUAAUCGUUUUAUCGGAAUGGCAAUAGGCAGUGCUGAUGAAAUGAGAGUAUGGUUAAGAUACUGUUUAGACUUAGGUUAUAUAGCGGAGCAACAAUGGCAAAGAUGGCGUAAUGAAUACGAAGAAAUUGCAAAAAUGUUGCAAGGUUUAGGUAAAAGGGUAGAUAAAACUGCCGUCUGAAACCUGUAAUCUGACCCCUGACAGGGUAGGGGAGCGUUGUGUAAGCGGAAGAAGGUGAGUCGAGAGGCUUGCUGGACGUAUCACAAGUGCGAAUGCUGACAUAAGUAACGAUAAAACGAGUGAAAAACUCGUUCGCCGGAAGACCAAGGGUUCCUGUCCAACGUUAAUCGGGGCAGGGUGAGUCGGCCCCUAAGGCGAGGCUGAAAAGCGUAGUCGAUGGGAAACGGGUUAAUAUUCCCGUACUUGGUAAAGUUGCGAUGUGGGGACGGAGUAGGUUAGGUUAGCGUACUGUUGGAUAUGUACGUUUAAGCGUGUAGGUGGGAAGUUUAGGCAAAUCCGAACUUCCAUUCAACACUAAGGCGUGAUGACGAUUUCCCAAGGGAAAGAAGUAAUCGAUACCACACUUCCAGGAAAAGCCACUAAGCGAAAGACUUUACUAAACCGUACUGAAAACCGACACAGGUGGUCAGGUAGAGAAUACUCAGGCGCUUGAGAGAACUCGGGUGAAGGAACUAGGCAAAAUAGCACCGUAACUUCGGGAGAAGGUGCGCCGGCGUAGAUUGUAGUCUUUUACAGACGAAGGUUGAACCGGUCGAAGUGACCCGCUGGCUGCAACUGUUUAUUAAAAACACAGCACUCUGCAAACACGAAAGUGGACGUAUAGGGUGUGAUGCCUGCCCGGUGCUGGAAGGUUAAUUGAUGGUGUUAUCGCAAGAGAAGCACCUGAUCGAAGCCCCAGUAAACGGCGGCCGUAACUAUAACGGUCCUAAGGUAGCGAAAUUCCUUGUCGGGUAAGUUCCGACCUGCACGAAUGGCAUAAUGAUGGCCAGGCUGUCUCCACCCGAGACUCAGUGAAAUUGAAAUCGCCGUGAAGAUGCGGUGUACCCGCGGCUAGACGGAAAGACCCCGUGAACCUUUACUAUAGCUUGACACUGAACCUUGAAUUUUGAUGUGUAGGAUAGGUGGGAGACUAAGAAGCAGGAACGCCAGUUCUUGUGGAGUCGUCCUUGAAAUACCACCCUUUAACGUUUGAUGUUCUAACGAAGUAUGUGAAACGCGUACUCGGACAGUGUCUGGUGGGUAGUUUGACUGGGGCGGUCUCCUCCCAAAGAGUAACGGAGGAGCACGAAGGUUUGCUAAUGACGGUCGGACAUCGUCAGGUUAGUGCAAUGGUAAAAGCAAGCUUAACUGCGAGACAGACAAGUCGAGCAGGUACGAAAGUAGGUCAUAGUGAUCCGGUGGUUCUGAAUGGAAGGGCCAUCGCUCAACGGAUAAAAGGUACUCCGGGGAUAACAGGCUGAUACCGCCCAAGAGUUCAUAUCGACGGCGGUGUUUGGCACCUCGAUGUCGGCUCAUCACAUCCUGGGGCUGAAGUAGGUCCCAAGGGUAUGGCUGUUCGCCAUUUAAAGUGGUACGCGAGCUGGGUUUAGAACGUCGUGAGACAGUUCGGUCCCUAUCUGCCGUGGGCGUAGGAUGAUUGAGUGGGGCUGCUCCUAGUACGAGAGGACCGGAGUGGACGCAUCACUGGUGUACCAGUUGUUUCGCCAGAAGCAUUGCUGGGUAGCUAAAUGCGGAAGAGAUAAGUGCUGAAAGCAUCUAAGCACGAAACUUGCCAUAAGAUGAGUCAUCCCACACUUAAAGUGUGUAAGGGUUGUUUAAGACGAAGACGUAGAUAGGCUGGGUGUGUAAGCGGUGCGAGCCGUUGAGCUAACCAGUACUAAUUGCCCGAGCGGCUUAACCAUACAACCU